CAGUACAUAUGAUAAUGGCUAUAUUUUAAAAAACAUACAUUUUUCAGUACAAGCUUUUCUUUGCAUUUUCAGUGACCUGCAAGGUUUAUAGACAAAGAUUUUUUUUAUUCCUAUUGCAAUCAUGCACUAGUUAUGCUAUAAGACUUAAAUAUUAUGACUUUGCAAAUUAUCUUACUCAGUUAAUGAUGUAUAUAAUUGUCUUUAUUACAUUUCAUUUUUUUUUACAUUUUAAUUUUGUAAAUACACAGAAUUGUUCAUAAGCUGAGACCUAGGGGGAACAUUGAUUUUUGAGAUUAUUCACUUUUGUGUACACUAUAUUAAAUAUUUGUAUUAAAAACAAUUUUAAGAUUGCAAAGAAAAUAUUUGAGCUAUAAAUUUUGUUUACAUUUAGUUAUGCUUGGAGGAGAUAUAGUGAUGUCUUUUUUCUCUUCUCUCUUUCUCCUUUAUCCAGAAUAGUGUUCAUCUCUGACUGAAUGAACUAUGGGGGAUUGAAACCAGGAUUUUAGAAACUCAGGCAUGAAAGUUGUUCUUUCUCCCCUAGUCAUUGUUCUUUCUCCCCUAGUCAUUUUUCCUCCUUUCUUUCUUACUUAUUAAUAUAUUUUUGUCAUCUAUGUUUUCAGAUAAAGGCAUUGACAGAGGGAAAGACACCACAUCCUCAGAGUUUAUCCCAGUGUAGUGGAACACAGCCACAAAAUAGGGUCAUGCACAAGUUUUAUGUCAUACUUAAAUACAUACUGAUACACCCACAAUAAAUGUAUAAAGUAAUGUUAUGUAAUUAAACAGUUGGUAUGUACAUCUUACCAUCACAGAUAGUACCAUUUACAAUUUAGUGCUUUACAAUUUUGUCUAGAAAUUAGUUUCAUUGCUACUCAGUUUAAUAAAGGGGAAGUGAGAUGUUUGAAAAUACAUCUACUUGUAUCAAGUCUCACAAAGUUUAAUUUUGUGAAUAUCUCAUUGUAGAUAUUCUGGCAUUAUUAUAUCUUAAAAGUAUCAAGCAAUGAAUAGGCCCUAAGAUUUAUACAUUAAUAUAGUUAGGAGAAGAAAUUGACAAAUGUACACAUACCCCAUUUUCAUAUAGAAGUGGGGUAUUCUAUCAAGUAUGCAUUUUUAUUACAAAAUAUAGCAUGUAGAGUCAUUGGUAUUCAUUUCUACCUUCCUUUUUUUCUUCCUUGUUCUUUUUGCUUGAAUUUUAAAAAAAAUAUUUAUUCCCUUUUGUUGCCACUGUUGUUUUAUUGUUGUGGUUAUUAUUUUAUUGGCGUUGUUAGAUAGGACAGAGAAAUGGGGAGGGGAAGACGGGGAGAGAAAGAUAGACACCUACAGACUUGCUUCACAGCUCCUGAAGCAACUCUCCUCUAGGUGGAGGAAGUUGGGGGUUCAAACCAGGAUCCUUACACAGAUCCUUACUCUUUGCACCAUUUGCGCUUAACCCGCUGUGCUACCACCCAACUCCCUUGCUUGAAUUUUAAAGUUCAGGAAAUAAAUGAUCUUGAUUAAGCUUUUAUACUACCUCUGGGAACUAUGUGCAAUUCUGUAUGUGUUCCUUUUUUGCAUGACAAUGUUCAAGACAAUUGUAAAUAAUGAGUAGAUAGAAAUUUAAAAGUUUUAACAGUUUUUCUAGAUAUAAUAUUUUCAUUUUCUGUUAUGAAUUAUUUUUAUUGGAACUGUUUUAAGUAUUGAAAUUUGUAUAAUUAAUUUUCUUGAAUUACACAUUUUGACAACUAUUUGCAUACUUACUUCUUUAGGAAAAAGGAGUAAGUUAAAGGAAAUAUAUCCAUUUUCCUAUUUUCAUUUAAAAUUUAGCUAUUAAUGUAAUGUGAUGCUUUAUUAUGAGAUUGAUAUGUUAUCAGGUACUUUAAUUCUUGUAAAUAAGUUUUGUAAGAAAUUUUAUUCUCCCUUUCUCAAUUAAACAGCUUUGUUUAAUUGAAUUGCACGACAACAAGCAAGACAAGCAUAUCAUUUGACAUGGAUUUUUAACAUAUAUGAACUUCACAAAGCAUAGUCUUGUAGUAUUUUGUUAUAAAAAUCACAAAUUGUUUACUGUAGUUUGACUGUAAUGGUUAAAAUUGGACUCUUAAAUCUAUGUGACAGCUGAUGUUUUGACAGUUGGUUUUGGGAAUAGAGAAAUAUCUUCAGAAAAAAUAUUGUAACAAGUAUAUGGGUAUUUUCAUAUAUAACUAAAGGGAUAUAUAUUUUUGUAUUUCAAAAGAAUAAUACUUAGUUAUUUUAAAUCAGGAAUUUACAUUACUAAGAUAAUCUGAUUUUUCUAUAGAAAUUUACUCUGCAAAGUUUAUAUGUAUAGUACAGAUUUAUACGAAAUUCAUAUAAUUGGUGUUAUGGAUUUAAUUUUCAAGUAAUACUUUAUAUUAAAAAUUUAUAUUACUAUUUUAAUUUCAAAUUUAUGGGAAUAGUAUUUUCAUACUAAUAUGAAAACAUACCUUUCCUUAUCACAUUGUAAAAUGAAUUAUUUUUGUAGAUUGUAUAGUUUUCGAUUCUGAGAUAUUAUAUAUUUUAUCAGAAGAAACUUGCAUGAUUUUUAAUAUUCUACUGCGGGAUUUAAAUUUUUCUAAUAACUUAGGUCAUGAUGUAACAAUACACUUUUUCAAUUUUAUAAGAAUUUCUUUGCAUGUUAAUAGUUGGCUAUAAUAUCUCAGUAUGUGAAUGCAUGUCAAUUAUGAUUCUAAUUUAUAAUCAAUUAUUCCUGAACAUAUUAUAAACACAAAAAUAUGCUGGUAGACAACAGUGGUAUAAUUUUAUUUGAAAUUUUAUCAUUUUGAACAGUUGUAGAGGUAUGAGCAUAGACUUUUUUUCCUCUGUUAAUGGUUAUUAUUAAUAUUAUCUUAGUCAUGAUAUAGAAUUUUAAAAGUACUCAAUUUUUAUGAUAGUGACUAUUUUUAUACUUUACAGUUUAUGUACAUGUGCAACUGAAAUACUAAAAUUUGUAUAUCUUUACAUUGCUACUUGACAAUCUAAGACAAGUAUCUAAAAGUAUAGAAAAUUAGUAUAAAAAGGGUUUAGAAGAAUACUAUAAUCUUUGAAAAUACUAUUUAGUGAAAUUAGAAUCACAAACUGAAUCUGCUUUCUGCAUUUAAAAUUUCAAAACUUGAAAAAUGAAUGUUUUGACAAUUUUUAAGAGACAACUGAUUUGUGCCUGUCUUCAUCAAACUUGCCUAUUCACAUCUUGGAAAUUAUGGGUUGUUUCUAACACUGUUUUUCUAGUGUUCAUUUAAAAUUGUUCUUAAGUGGUGAUCACGAAGAACAUGUUAUUUAGAAAGUAGAGCAGCAGAAAGGCUUACCAGUGAACCAAAUACUGGACUUCAAGGAAUGAAGAGACAUGUUAUUGAAGGCAUAGAACAAAAUUAUAUUGUAUUAAUAUGUGACUGUGAUAAAUUUGCCAAUACCCAUACUGGAGAAAAGGAAAAAAAUCCAUUUUGGGAAGUCUAAGAGAGCAAACUUCAUGAACACUACCUGUUAUUAUUGUCAAAGCUGACUAAAGUUAAAAUGCUUUAAGUAGAGUUCCUUUAUUAUCUGCUCACCAGAGUGAAUGCUGAACAAUCCAUUAAAUAUUCUUAAUGCCACUGCAUAUUAUGAGGUGACAGCUGCAUAGGGAACUGAUGCUCUUCCAUCUCUUUAACCGUCACAAAACUAAGUGAUUAUCUUCAUAAAGCAUACAGAUACCUCUUUCAAGUGUUGACCCAUGGAUACGAUAUACAUAUGAGGAAAAUUGGUAUGAGGAAGAUCAUGCAUCAAUCAGCUGUCAUUCGAAAGACCAGGCAUGUGUCAGACAUUUCAGUCUUUGGCAUUGUGGAGUUCCAAGGAGAUCAUCGUCUUCAUAUCUGAACAUGUUACCUGUCAUACAUUUAUUUUAUUUUUUAAUUUGGAUAUUAGUUGUCUUAUCACUGUAUUCCAACAGUUCAUUUAUGAUUAAGAAGUUUAAUCAUUCCUAAUGCAAUACAAAAAGAAUGUUAUGCUCCUGCCAUUAGUUUCCUGUGGUGUUUGAUUUCUGUUUGUAUAAAUGUUGCAUAUUGAAAUACAGUAUCUUUUAUGCAUUUUGA